rfam:Dipodomys ordii contig_65027, whole genome shotgun sequence.
GGGAAUGUGGCUUAGUGGUAGAGUGCUUGCCUAGCAUGUAUGAAGCCCUGGGUUCAAUUCCUCAGUACCA